GGAAAUUUAUAUCGAUAGGCAGCUCAGAUACUCAUUAAUGACUAGUCUGCAAGUCACGGAUUCGGCUGGAUCCAGACUUUGAUCUGCUCAUGAUGAACGCUGGCGGCGUGCUUAACACAUGCAAGUCGAACGAAGCACCUUGAUUUGAUUCUUCGGAUGAAGAUCCUGGUGACUGAGUGGCGGACGGGUGAGUAGCGCGUGGGUAACCUGCCUCAUACAGGGGGAUAACAGUUAGAAAUGACUGCUAAUACCGCAUAAGACCACAGCACCGCAUGGUGCAGGGGUAAAAACUCCGGUGGUAUGAGAUGGACCCGCGUCUGAUUAGGUAGUUGGUGGGGUAACGGCCUACCAAGCCGACGAUCAGUAGCCGACCUGAGAGGGUGACCGGCCACAUUGGGACUGAGACACGGCCCAAACUCCUACGGGAGGCAGCAGUGGGGAAUAUUGCACAAUGGGGGAAACCCUGAUGCAGCGACGCCGCGUGAGCGAUGAAGUAUUUCGGUAUGUAAAGCUCUAUCAGCAGGGAAGAAAAUGACGGUACCUGACUAAGAAGCACCGGCUAAAUACGUGCCAGCAGCCGCGGUAAUACGUAUGGUGCAAGCGUUAUCCGGAUUUACUGGGUGUAAAGGGAGCGUAGACGGAGUGGCAAGUCUGAUGUGAAAACCCGGGGCUCAACCCCGGGACUGCAUUGGAAACUGUCAAUCUAGAGUACCGGAGAGGUAAGCGGAAUUCCUAGUGUAGCGGUGAAAUGCGUAGAUAUUAGGAGGAACACCAGUGGCGAAGGCGGCUUACUGGACGGUAACUGACGUUGAGGCUCGAAAGCGUGGGGAGCAAACAGGAUUAGAUACCCUGGUAGUCCACGCCGUAAACGAUGAUUACUAGGUGUCGGGCAGCAAAGCUGUUCGGUGCCGCAGCAAACGCAAUAAGUAGUCCACCUGGGGGAGUACGAUGGCCAGAAUGCAACUCAAAUUGAACCGUCGUUGUACGGUCAGC
rnacentral:rRNA from 1 species